UACGGAGGGUGCAAGCGUUAUCCGGAUUCACUGGGUUUACAGGGUGCGUAGGAGGGCAGGGAAGUCAGUGGUGAAAUCCUAGAGCUUAACUCUAGAACUGCCGUUGAUACUCUCUGUCUUGAAUCCCGUGGAGAUGAGCGGAAUAUGUCAUGUAGCGGUGAAAUGCUUAGAUAUGACAUAGAACACCAAUUGCGAAGGCAGCUCGUUACACGAAGAUUGACUCUGAGGCACGAAAGCGUGGGGAUCAAACAGG
rnacentral:rRNA from 1 species